rfam:Picea glauca, whole genome shotgun sequence.
CUUCUGUAGAAAAAAUCUGAUAAAAUUGGAAUGAUACAGAGAAGAUUAUCAUGGCCUCUGCACAAGGAUGACACACACAAAUCAAGAAAAAUAAUGCACUUAC